AAAAUCCGGGAAUCUCUAUGCCGAGCACCGAGACGAGUCCUAUGAGGACGAAGUGACUGACACCACGCUUCCAGGAAAAGCCACUAAGCUUCAGCUGUAGAAAAACCGUACCGCAAACCGACACAGGUAGGCAGGGUGAGAAUCCCAAGGCGCUUGAGAGAACUCGGGUGAAGGAACUAGGCAAAAUGGCACCGUAACUUCGGGAGAAGGUGCGCCUCUUGGUGUGGUCACGUGCGUGACUGAGCAUCGAGGGGUCGCAGUAACCUGGCCGCUGCGACUGUUUAUCAAAAACACAGCACUCUGCAAACACGAAAGUGGACGUAUAGGGUGUGACGCCUGCCCGGUGCUGGAAGGUUAAUUGAUGGGGUCAGCCGCAAGGCGAAGCUCUUGAUCGAAGCCCCAGUAAACGGCGGCCGUAACGAUAACGGUCCUAAGGUAGCGAAAUUCCUUGUCGGGUAAGUUCCGACCUGCACGAAUGGCGUAACGACAGCGGCGCUGUCUCCACCCGAGACUCAGUGAAAUUGAAAUCGCUGUGAAGAUGCAGCGUUCCCGCGGCAAGACGGAAAGACCCCGUGAACCUUUACUAUAGCUUUACACUGAACGUUGAGUUCUUCUGUGUAGGAUAGGUGGGAGGCUAUGAAACCAGGACGCUAGUUCUGGUGGAGCCAUCCUUGAAAUACCACCCUGAAGUGCUUGACGUUCUAACCUAGGUCCGUAAUCCGGAUCGGGGACCGUGUAUGGUGGGUAGUUUGACUGGGGCGGUCUCCUCCCAAAGAGUAACGGAGGAGCACGAAGGUACGCUCAGCGCGGUCGGACAUCGCGCACUGUGUGCAAAGGCAUAAGCGUGCUUGACUGCGAGAUCGACGGAUCAAGCAGGUACGAAAGUAGGUCUUAGUGAUCCGGUGGUUCUGUAUGGAAGGGCCAUCGCUCAACGGAUAAAAGGUACUCCGGGGAUAACAGGCUGAUACCGCCCAAGAGUUCAUAUCGACGGCGGUGUUUGGCACCUCGAUGUCGGCUCAUCACAUCCUGGGGCUGUAGCCGGUCCCAAGGGUAUGGCUGUUCGCCAUUUAAAGUGGUACGCGAGCUGGGUUCAGAACGUCGUGAGACAGUUCGGUCCCUAUCUGUCGUGGGCGUUGGAGAUUUGAGGGGGGCUGCUCCUAGUACGAGAGGACCGGAGUGGACGUUCCGCUGGUGUUCGGGUUGUCAUGCCCAUGGCAUUGCCCGGUAGCUACGAACGGAAGUGAUAACCGCUGAAAGCAUCUAAGCGGGAAGCACGCCCCAAGAUGAGAUCUCCCGAGAGCUUGACUCUCCUAAAGGCACCAUCAAGACUAGGUGGUUGAUAGGCACGGUGUGGAAGUGCAGCAAUGCAUUGAGCUUACGUGUACUAAUGAGCCGUGAGGCUUGAUCA
rnacentral:rRNA from 1 species